rnacentral:sRNA from 1 species
AAAAAAAAAUCAAAAACAAAAGAGUUAAAAACUUUU